UCUGGUCCUUUUGUGCCCGCCGCCGCGGUAAUACGGAGGGUGCAAGCGUUACUCGGAAUCCCUGGGCGUAAAGCGCACGUAGGCGGCUUGGUAAGUCAGGGGUGAAAUCCCACAGCCCAACUGUGGAACUGCCUUUGAUACUGCCAGGCUUGAGUACCGGAGAGGGUGGCGGAAUUCCAGGUGUAGGAGUGAAAUCCGUAGAUAUCUGGAGGAACACCGGUGGCGAAGGCGGCCACCUGGACGGUAACUGACGCUGAGGUGCGAAAGCGUGGGUAGCAAACAGG
rnacentral:rRNA from 1 species